rnacentral:rRNA from 1 species
UACGGGGGGGGCAAGCGUUGUUCGGAAUUACUGGGCGUAAAGGGCUCGUAGGCGGCCAACUAAGUCGGACGUGAAAUCCCUCGGCUUAACCGGGGAACUGCAUCCGAUACUGGAUGGCUUGAAUUCGGGAGAGGGAUGCAGAAUUCCAGGUGUAGCGGUGAAAUGCGUAGAUAUCUGGAGGAAUACCGGUGGCGAAGGCGGCAUCCUGGACCGACAUUGACGCUGAGGAGCGAAAGCCAGGGGAGCAAACGGG